rnacentral:rRNA from 1 species
UACGUAGGGUGCAAGCGUUAUCCGGAGUUAUUGGGCGUAAAGAGCUCGUAGGCGGUUUGUCGCGUCUGCUGUGAAAACUGGAGGCUCAACCUCCAGCUUGCAGUGGGUACGGGCAAACUAGAGUGCGGUAGGGGAGAUUGGAAUUCCUGGUGUAGCGGUGGAAUGCGCAGAUAUCAGGAGGAACACCCGUAGCGAAGGCGGCACUCUGGGCCGAUUCUGACACUGAGGGGCGAAAGCGUGGGGAGCGAACAGG